rnacentral:rRNA from 1 species
AACGAACGCUGGCGGCAUGCCUAACACAUGCAAGUCGAACGAGACCUUCGGGUCUAGUGGCGCCCGGGUGCGUAACGCGUGGGAACCUGCCCUUAGGUUCGGAAUAACUCCCCGAAAGGGGUGCUAAUACCGGAUAAUGUCUUCGGACCAAAGAUUUAUCGCCUUUGGAUGGGCCCGCGUUGGAUUAGCUAGUUGGUAGGGUAAAAGCCUACCAAGGCGACGAUCCAUAGCUGGUCUGAGAGGAUGAUCAGCCACACUGGGACUGAGACACGGCCCAGACUCCUACGGGAGGCAGCAGUGGGGAAGAUUGGACAAUGGGCGAAAGCCUGAGCCAGCAAUGCCGCGUGAGUGAUGAAGGCCUUAGGGUUGUAAAGCUCUUUUACCCGGGAUGAUAAUGACAGUACCGGGAGAAUAAGCUCCGGCUAACUCCG